UACGGGGGGGAGCAAGCGUUUGUUCGGAUUUACUGGGCGUAAAGGGCGCGUAGGCGGUCGUGACAAGUCACUUGUGAAAUCUCCGGGCUUAACUCGGAACGGUCAAGUGAUACUAUUUGUCUUGAAUACUUUGGAGGUAAGCGGAAUAUGUCAAUUGUAGCGGUGAAAUGCUUAGAUAUGACAUAGAACACCAAUUGCGAAGGCAGCUUACUACACAGUAAUUGACACUGAGGCACGAAAGCGUGGGGAUCAAACAGG
rnacentral:rRNA from 1 species